rnacentral:rRNA from 1 species
UACGGAGGGUGCAAGCGUUAUCCGGAUUCACUGGGUUUAAAGGGUGCGUAGGUGGGUUGGUAAGUCAGUGGUGAAAUCCCCGAGCUUAACUUGGGAACUGCCAUUGAUACUAUCAGUCUUGAAUACCGUGGAGGUCAGCGGAAUAUGUCAUGUAGCGGUGAAAUGCUUAGAUAUGACAUAGAACACCAAUUGCGAAGGCAGCUGGCUACACGAAUAUUGACACUCAGGCACGAAAAGCGUGGGGAUCAAACAGG